GACGAACGCUGGCGGCGUGCUUAACACAUGCAAGUCGAACGGAAAGACCCUGCUUUUGUGGGGUGCUCGAGUGGCGAACGGGUGAGUAACACGUGAGUAACCUGCCCUUGACUUUGGGAUAACUUCAGGAAACUGGGGCUAAUACCGGAUAGGAGCUCCUGCUGCAUGGUGGGGGUUGGAAAGUUUCGGCGGUUGGGGAUGGACUCGCGGCUUAUCAGCUUGUUGGUGGGGUAGUGGCUUACCAAGGCUUUGACGGGUAGCCGGCCUGAGAGGGUGACCGGCCACAUUGGGACUGAGAUACGGCCCAGACUCCUACGGGAGGCAGCAGUGGGGAAUAUUGCACAAUGGGCGGAAGCCUGAUGCAGCAACGCCGCGUGCGGGAUGACGGCCUUCGGGUUGUAAACCGCUUUCGCCUGUGACGAAGCGUGAGUGACGGUAAUGGGUAAAGAAGCACCGGCGAACUACGU
rnacentral:rRNA from 1 species